rnacentral:misc_RNA from 1 species
ACCUGCCCAAACAGAAUUGGAAGUUACAAGAUUGGUUUGAGAACCACAGAUAGAUUUCCAUCUGGUUCAGAUAAACGUGCAGUUGAAGCUUCAUAAACAUUUCAUCUUCACCAAAUUGUGCCAGCAGGUUAAACACAACCGGUUCUUGAAAAGGUAAACAACAAAAAAUAAUGAUGAGAAAAUUAAAUGAACGGGUCUAGCCCCUAUUUUCCACAUAAUCAGAUCGGCACUAACAACAAAUUUACAAGCCCAUUCCUUUCACACUUCAACUUUGCUUCUUACCAAACCAUCUCAUACAUGAAUUCACUCCUCCACAAAUUGAAAUGAAGGUUAAGCAUUUCACAUAUGAUUUAUUAAAAGAUUAACUACUUGGAAAUAAUUGCAGCACAGUGUCCCCUAGAGACUGAUAUAUGAUGCCUGGGGCUGAUAUUCAGUCCUAGCACCAAUACUUAAAGCAUAACCAUCAGUUGUAUAACACAGGAACGAGAGAAUCGGUUUAUUAAGCAAAGGUUUCUUAGAAUGGAGCUUUGUUGGAAAGAGACAGCUUGUGAAUCAAGGAGACAAAGAAAAGGCAGAUGAAACAACAUCCAAAGAAUAUUCUUGAUGAGUUCACUCUAGAUCUAGAGGCUUUUGGUUGAGGAAAGGAGAAAUUCUUAUUUGGACUCCAUUCACCGCAAACCAUAGAUAUAAACACUUGUCAGACCUACAAGUGGAUUUCACUUCUUAUCUCUACCAUCCAUGGCAAACUAGAUUCACCUUAAAUUUUGACAGAAAGAAGGAACAUUUCCAUUUUUCUACAUUUGAUAGGAGAUUAAGAUUGAGUGCGUCUCUUCAUGACACUGCAUUCCUAUACAAAGAUCAAAGCUGUUGAGGCAAAAUGCAUACCUUGAUGCCCCCAAGAUUCAUUGUAUCAUCUGCACGACCAUGUGCACGAUAGUAUCCCCUAGAAGUAUGCUCAAAAACAUCCCCAUGCCUUCGAAGAAUCUGAGUAGGUGAUAUCAAUGUCUGAAGACUCUGAAAUGCUUAGUCAACAAACUAGUACAAAGGUGCACAGGGAAAGCACUUACCUUUCCAUUCCAAACUGGCAUUCCCUUAUAAUAAACAUUAUAGUGAUUUGCAUUCAGCAGUGAACUUGAAGCUCCAAACAUGAGGGGACCAAGUGCCAGCUCACCCAUAACUGGUACAUUUUGUGGAAAUGGAUGGCCAUCAUCACCAAGAAUAAACAAGCUGCAGCCCAUUGCUGGUGUGCUAAAAGCAGCCAAUGACUGAGGCUGCAAUAAAGACCCUGAAACAAAUCCACCUCCAAUCUCUGUACCACCACAAUAUUCGAUAAUAGGCUUGUAGUGAGCUCUUCCCAUCAACCACAAGUAUUCGUCUACAUUAGAUGCUUCACCAGUGGAGCCAAAGCAACGAAUAGCAGACCAAUCAUAGCCGGCUGUGGAAUUUGCACUUUUCCAUGUCCGGACAAUACUUGGGAUCACACCCAACAUUGUUACUUUAGCAUCCUGUACAAACUUGGCAAAGCCAGAACCUAGGGGCGAUCCAUUAUAUAAAGCUAUGCAAGCCCCAUUUAAUAGUGACGCAUAUACAAGCCAAGGACCCAUCAUCCAUCCAAGGUUAGUGGGCCAAGCAACAACAUCACCUCUGCGGAUAUCCAUGUGGCACCAUGCAUCUGCAGCAGCUUUGAAAGGGGUUGCAUUGGUCCAUGGAAUUGCCUUCGGAUCCCCUGUAGUUCCAGAUGAGAAGAGGAUGUUUGUAAAUGCUUCUAUUGGUUGUUCUACAGCAGCAAAUUCAUCUCCUCUUAUAUUCUCAACUCUUUCUAGGAAAUCAUGCCAAGAAAUGUCUCCACCUCGCAAUUUCAUGCUGAAGCUAGAACCUUUUGUAGGAAUAACAAUUGCCAUAGGUGAUUGAGCAUCCACAACUCUACUGUAUAAGGGAAUACUUUUGUCACCACGAAUUAUAAGAUCCUGAGUAAAUAUGGCUUUUGCUUCUGAAAUUUUAAGCCUUGUUGACAUCUCCGGUGAAGCAAAACUAUCAGCAAUAGAUACAACUGCAUAUCCUGCCAGAACAAUGGCUAGGUAGAUGACCACAGACUUGACAUUCAUUGGCAUAUCAAUGGCAAUUGCAGAUCCUCUGUCCAAACCCAGUGUGUUGAGUGCAUAUGCAACUAACCAAACCUCAGUGCGCAAUUCGCCAAGUGUCAUGCUGCUUAAAGGCAGAUCAUCACUUCCUUCAUCACGCCAUGUUAUUACCGUAUCAUCCAAAGUUCUUUCACGAUUCAAGCUCAAGCAAUUCCUUGCAGGAUUGACAUAUGCUCCAGGAAGCCAUUGCCCACCUGGGCUUUCUGGAUUUUCAAGUAAAAUACAUUGGGGAGGCACUGAAAAUGAUAUGCUCAUUUCAUCCAGCACAGUUUUCCAAUAAACCUCAGGGUUGGAAACAGAAAAUUCCUGAAAAGCAGAGAAACUCGAUAUGGGAUCCACAUAGAGCGAACCCAGAAACUCUUUUCCACGCCUCUCUAAAAGUUGGCCUACAUUUGUCAAUGCUGCAGUCUUCGGGUCAGGAGACCAAGCAGCCGGAUCGGAGCCGAAGUCCUUGUAGCAGGCAUAGAACAUCAUCCGAUGAAGGGAAAAAGGUAGGUCAGGAUUAAGGACGUGUUUGGAGAUAUGGGUCCAUGUUUGGGGAGUGGAAGCACCGUAAUUAGCGAUAAUAUCGGCGACAUCUUUGUAGAGCUUGUCCGCUAGUUUGGAAGAUAUGCCGAGAGCUUCAAUAUCGGAGACGGAGAUAGCGUCUAGGGCCUUAUAAGAAGACAUUGGAUUCGAGCGAGAGAGAGAUUGAAGAGAAGGGGACUAGGUUAGCGUGAGAAGAGCGCAGAUGACGCUGAUGCUCUAAAGCAGGAGGAGAGUGAGAGUGAGAAUGAC